rnacentral:misc_RNA from 1 species
UUGAAUCCAAUACACUACACCCUUGUGAACUAUGUGUAGCUUGGGAUGAUUACAGUGUUGGAAACAACGUUGAAAGCCCUAGCUAUGAAUUUUUAUACACCCACAUACAAAGUUAUAGAAUGGAUAAUGUUAUAGCGUGUAAUAGCGCGAAUAUAUA